rnacentral:rRNA from 1 species
AGACCCGAAACCCGGUGAUCUAGCCAUGGGCAGGUUGAAGGUUGGGUAACACUAACUGGAGGACCGAACCGACUAAUGUUGAAAAAUUAGCGGAUGACCUGUGGCUGGGGGUGAAAGGCCAAUCAAACCGGGAGAUAGCUGGUUCUCCCCGAAAGCUAUUUAGGUAGCGCCUCGUGAAUUCAUCUCCGGGGGUAGAGCACUGUUUCGGCUAGGGGGCCAUCCCGGCUUACCAACCCGAUGCAAACUGCGAAUACCGGAGAAUGUUAUCACGGGAGACACACGGCGGGUGCUAACGUCCGUCGUGAAGAGGGAAACAACCCAGACCGCCAGCUAAGGUCCCAAAGUCAUGGUUAAGUGGGAAACGAUGUGGGAAGGCCCAGACAGCCAGGAUGUUGGCUUAGAAGCAGCCAUCAUUUAAAGAAAGCGUAAUAGCUCACUGGUCGAGUCGGCCUGCGCGGAAGAUGUAACGGGGCUAAACCAUGCACCGAAGCUGCGGCAGCGACGCUUAUGCGUUGUUGGGUAGGGGAGCGUUCUGUA